AUUGCAACUAUAUUUAUUCAAAGUAUUCUAUUUCUGCCAACAAAUUCCCGUAGUUCGUUAUAUUUAUAAAUACAAAAACGAUUGACCUCAUGAUGCGCAGAAACGCUUGUAAACAUAUUAUUAGUGUUUUCCAAAUAGUCGCAGGAUCAACAUAUAUCACAAGUCACAAUUUAUUUAAAUACGUACGGUGUCGAGCAAGAAUAUUACAAGUUUCAUUAAUAUAAAUUAACAUUAUAAAAUAUCAUUCUCUGGACGUCAGUAAUACCGUUCUAAGCGUGAUGUCGAAUUCUGGACUAUCCACAGUACGGGAUGUAAUCGUAAAUUAUAAUAAUUGUUUUAAUCCGUACGUCUGUCACGUUUGCAAAAUUUCAGAGAACCUGCACGCAUGUCACUGGUGCCGUUUGAUCUCUUACUGCUCUAAGGAACACUUGCAAUUGCACCGAGAGCAACACAAAGAGUUUUGUCUGGCUGUAUUAAGCCUGAGUGACGAAAUAUACUACUCUCAUGAUAUAACGCUUACAGAAUGGACUGAAUUUAAGAAGAUUAAUGUGAGAAAAGUUAAGAAUAAACUUGGUCGCGAUCUAGAGCCAUAUGAAGAGCAAAUAUUGCUAUUUGCAAAAUCGUGUCUCAUAUGCCGCCGCCAGAAUGACCUCAGUGUCGUUUGCAACAUAUGCAUGUCGGUCAGCAUGUGUUACAGGCACAUAUCAACUCCUUAUGUGCACAACUGUAAAUAUCUACGGCUUUGUAAAAAACUGGAUAUCAACAAAGGCGUAAUAAAUGAACAAAAUGUACCAAUACCGAUAGACCUUCUAACUUAUGAAAAUUUAAGCGACAUGAAAACAUAUCUUCGACAACAUUUAGGACGUAGUAGAGAUUACAACACUUGGAACUAUGUCGAUUUUUUAUAUACUAAUUAUUUCUCAAGACCAUUGACGUUAUUAUUUCACAUUUCGAGAACAAAUAUACAGCGACUGACGUUUUCUUCAAUCUUUAUAAUUCACGUUAUAGCCGGAUCCUUUACGGACCGAAAUAGUCUAUUGGCUUGGGAAGUCUUUGUACAUCAAAUUUAUCCUGACUCAACAUUAUUCGUUAUAAUGAUAGAACCAAACUUAGAAAAAAAUAUUUAUAAAAUAUCGCUUUGUCAAACUUGUCGCACCAAAAACAAAGAACUUUAUUUUGUUUAUUGUUCUAUGACAUAUGGACAUUAUAGAUAUUCUCGUUUAUAUCUAGAACCACAUCUAAUUGUAGGAUUUAAUAUAGAUUUUGAGAAUGAUGGGACGGCUAUUGUAGCAACAUUAAUGUGUCAGAAGAAACCAUUAUUUUUGACUUGCAAAUCAGAAAGUAAGGCACAGCAGGUUGUUACGAAAAUCGAUAAAAUAUUACACAAAAAGCCUAUCAUCAAUGAGAAGAAUAAAUUCGCAUCUUGUAGACCACAUAGAGAUGUUGAGAGUGAUUCUGUGAUCUUUUUUCAUCAGUAUUUAAUUGUGUAUGCUAAAAAAGCUUACAAAAGAAAGAACUUAGACACUUCUAGCAAUCACAACCAACCUAGCACCAGCAGCAAUUCAUUUGACGAAUAAUUGUAUCGUCAUACUAGUCUUAUCAUUAUAAACAAUAUACAAGAUAUUAUUUCGAUAUUUGGACUACAGAGCAAUUUUUGUUUGUACAAUAAAAAAAAUUUUCCCAUUCCAACGUUUGCCACGUAUGCAAAUCUAUAGAAGCAUUUAUGAAGUAUUUUUGGUGCGGAAUAAUUUCGUAUUAUCUGUGCAAGGAGCACAGGUUAAUGCACCGAGCGAGACAUAUCGAAGUUUGUAUAACAAGGUUAUAAUAAUGGCAAAUAUGGCAUUCUGUGACAUUGACAUUUCAUUGACGUGAAAAAUUUCAUCUGGAAAACUCAUCUGGGAAUGGCACUUAGGAAACUCUUCUAGGGAACUUAGGCGAAAUACCCAGUAGGAAUCCCAAUUGGGUGUUCAACUGGGAUUUUUCAACAAGAAGCAUCCAUUCGUAUGUUUCAGUGUGCAUAAAUUUCUUAAACUUAAACUACAAUCACUCAACUAAAAAGAAAAAAACUAUCUUUUUAUAUUAAUAUACAUCAGUUCUGGAAGUUUUAUGGAAAAGAACAGAUCUUUUGUAAGCAAGUAAUAAUUUGUGAUUUGACGUUGUAUCACGUAAAAAAUUAUUUAUUUAUUUUAAAAAACUUGUUAUUACGAAAUGCGUAAAUAUCGCAUUAAUUUGAGUGCAUUUUAAACUUACAAUAAAUGCGAUUUUGAAGCCAAUGCAAUUGAAUGCGCAUUAAAAGCGCGUUAUACGCGUAUUGGGUAUUAUAAACCUUGGGUAUUAUAAACAAUAUAAAAAGUAAGUCGUUUUCAUGGAUCUAUUGCGAGUUUCCUUAGAAAGAAUACUUUUCUCUUUAAUUGGCUAACAUAUAUUUUGCUAUUAUACUUUCGAUUUGUUAGUUUCGGUUAGUACUAUUAUCUAUUCAAUAAUAUCAUAAUAUAUAUAGUAUAGUACGUUGUAUUAUAUACGUAAUUAUAUUGUAGUUCUCCUGUACAAUAGAAAUAUACCUAUAUCAUAUGCGUAAUAUUUGCAUAACUGUGACACAAUAUGCGACACUUUUGCGAUUUCUUGUUGUACGAAAUGACAUACAAUGUAAAUCAUUUAAGAUGUAAGGUGUAAGGUAGAUGUUUUUCAUCGAUCUCUUCUGUAGGGAAAACAAUUCUGAUCAAUAAGCUUUUCUUUCCAUAAUUUUAUAAAUUAAAGAGGCGGUUUUGCCGUAGAACGUGUGGAUUCUGUGUAUCAUACGUAUUUCUAAAGACCACUUGACAAUACUUUCUAGAUGUAAGCUUUAAUAUAAAUAAACUAUUAUAUGCCUUUUUGAUAUAUGCCUCAAACAAAUUUAUGAAAUUCUAUUCGACCAGAAAUAUCCAUUAUAUUUGCAAAGUCAAAUCAGAUCGUUAAGGCGAGAACUCCAUCUAAAUGAGCCGAAAAAUAGGCAGUUUUUAGGGAUUAAAAAAAAACUAUUCGAUGAAUCUUUUUGAAACUUUUAGUAUAUUUAUAUGCACAUUCAGAGAAUUAGAAAACAUUUUCUUUGAGCAACAGUAAUGGAUAUUUUUAUAGUUAAUAAAGGUCGAUGUCGGAGGCCUCAUUUUUGACGAGGUGAAUUUGUGUGCAUUCUAGCGAACUUAGUUUUAAUUUUACAAUAAAGAUCCUAAAAGAUUUGUUCUCUUUUAAUAAAAAUCACAAGGAAUGAACAUGAAUGUGUUAAAAAAAAUUGGAAAUUUAGUGAAAAUAAACGAUUUCAAAAGAAAACGUUCAAAUUUUACGGAAAAUUUUCAUUUUCAUUGUUUGAGAAAAGUUGUUUAAGUAAAUAAAAAUUAAUUACAUACAGAUUCAUUUUAUUAAAAAAGUAAUAAUGUACAUGCACGCAUAAGCACAAAGUAAUUGGUUGAAUAGUUUUUGAGUUUUGAUGUACGCAAUUUGCGAAAAA